GUGUCAGCCGCCGCGUAAUACGGGGGGGACGAGCGUUGUUCGGAUUUACUGGGCGUAAAGGGCGCGUAGGCGGACUGUCAAGUCGGAAGUGAAAACCGGAGGCUUAACCUCAGGCUUGCUUUCGAUACUGUCAGUCUUGAGUACAGGAGAGGAAAGCGGAAUUCCAGGUGUAGCGGUGAAAUGCGUAGAUAUCUGGAAGAACACCAGUAGCGAAGGCGGCUUUCUGGUCUGAUACUGACGCUAAAGCGCGAAGGCUAGGGGAGCAAACAGGAUUAGAAACCCCCGUAGUCC
rnacentral:rRNA from 1 species